UGAGGACUGACCGUUCGUCCUCAGUCAGUGGGAGGUCUGGGGAGACGGUGAACAUGUGGCAGGGCUCAGUGUGGCUGUCUCCUCUGGGGUUGCUGGCUGUGGAGGCUGUGGGCGGAGCGAUGAGGUCGUCGGCCGUGGGCGGGGUUCCGUCGGCAGUUGGAGUAUCGGGGGAGGCGGCAGCAGCUGCGGUGAGGGUGGUGUGUGAGGUGUUGUAUCUGUGGAAGUGGAGGUGGUGAGUGCAGCAGCGGUUCCGGAAGUGGUGUGGCCGGCGGAGGCGGAUGUGACGUCAUCGGUGGGGUCUCCGGCCGUGUCUUCAUGUUCAAUGGCGGCGGGGCAGACAACAUCAGGUGAAGAUGUGCGUGAUUUCAGCAAGGUGCUGAAAAAUAAGUAAGAAAUAUUUUGCCAAACAUCCUCGCUUGGGUUAUUUACCAGUACAAACAGCUCUAGAAGGCGAGAACCUUGAGACUGGAUCUGUUGGAGUUGCACACAGCGCAACGCGUCUUUGAUCAACACAAAUUGACACAAACCGAGCAACUUCUGAAUGUGACUGAAGUAAUCAACUGUUUAACGUCCAUUUAUGAUGUUUUGGAACAAAACCACAAGGACUUGGUCAAUGUGCCACUCUGUGUCGACAUGUGUCUGAACUGG